GGACCAGGGCUCGAAGCCGUGUCCCCUGCACUAGCAUGUAGAUUCUUACACUGCGCCACCAGGGAAACCUUCAACUAUUCUUAACACUUAGUUUCUGAAAACUGUUUCUUCUAGAAAACAUCUAACUCAAAUUAAUGUAAAGACUAUUAAAAUAACUUAUAGGAUGUAUGUUGUAGUACAGUGUAGAUAUUUCAUAAGCUAGAGGAUUAUCUUUUAAAAAUUAUUAUGUAGGUCACAUGAAUGGAAAAAAGCAACAUUACUUUUAUUGACCUGGUAGAGCAUAGGUUGUCCUAUCACUCUACCCCCAAACUCUACAAAGCCUUUUGUUUCUACACAGUGAAUUGCAUACAUGGUGUUGGGAAUUAUUGGUCAAAAAUAAGUUUGUGGCAGAAAAACCAGAGUUGGCCUAUUUGUCUUCAGAAGAAGCAGAGGAGAGGUGGUAGAUGUGUUCCUGGGUACAUUGGCCAAGGGCAUCAAGAAGCAAAGAAGGCAGUGUCACUAGAGUCUGCCGGAGCAGCAUCAUGACUUGUCCUCAUCAGCUGACAGCUAUCUGAUCCUUAGGGGCCCUGAUAAUGGUGCUCUUGAUGAGAAGGAAGAAUGUCCUCAAGCAGAUCGAGAAGCAGGAGUAACGUGGCUGGAUUUCCUGCAUCACGAGACUAUACCUCCUUCAUUAAAUGACUUGUAGAAACCGUGGACGAUGAUGACCUGACCUACCACAGGGACCUUUCAACACAGGGCCUCUUAUUCUUGACAAAGAUUGAUUCUCGUACAUGGGCUGGCCCUUCUGUGCCUGGUAUGCCAGACCCUUUAAUGGAGAGAGGUGGAAAAGCCUCAGAAGCCAAGUUGGUGGGAGUCUUAAUUCUUGAGAGAAAGGGUGACAUACUCUUGCUGACUCUGUCUUUUCUUCCCCUAAAGCUGUUUUAAUUAUGUCGUAACCCAAGGUUAAUUCCUCAUGCAAAAGAGAAAAGGAUUUUGUUACCCUUGUACCCAUAGAACACCUCGAAGUGGACCGAGGAUGAAAUUCUGAUUGGAUUCGUUUUCUUGGGUAGCAGACCUAGUCAGGAACCACUAACCUCAAAGAUGUACAUACAAGGAUGCUUUAAAAGUGGAAACAACACUGGCAGCUAGAUAAAAAUGUUUAUACUACACCUAAAUACCUGAAAUUAAGUGAGGUUUUUAAGGGUUGGUGCAUCCUUUCCCAGUAAGGUUAUCACAUAUCUGUCAAGGAAACUGAGGAGAGGUUAUUUUGGAACUUUAUCCUGCACUUAGAUUUUCAGAGAUUUUGCCCACCAAGAACUGUAUAACUCAUUUGGGAAAUAAUUUGUUUUUCUGUUUACUAAUCGGAUUUACCUACAUCUGCCAUAAGAUAGCAUAAAUGUUUAGUGAAAUGACUUGAGUUUUAACUUGCUUGAGCCAGAUAGACGUGAAUGUGUGAUUUCCUCAGAUUUUCUGAGAUGUUGAAAAUGACCUCCCCGCCACCUUCCGCCGUCGUGGAAUCUCAUUGGGAAGUCUUGUUUCUGAGACGCCAAACCCAGCCAGAAGGUCAUCCAGUUUGAAAAGGUCAUCAGGCUUGAGUACUGUAACAUCCCAGUGGGAGGGAAAGGGCUUUCCUAUGCUGGGUAACCUGCACAGGGCCCGGGGGCAAGGUCUGAGGAUGCCAAGAGGGUGUCCACUUUCACCCCGAUUCCCUCCAUGUCUGUGCUAUCUCUAAGGCAGGCCUGGGAGAGAUGGGCUAGACUCUGUUUUUGUUAAUGUGCCUACUCUGGUUCUCAGGUUACUUCAUUGGGCAUUUGGAAGUGAGUUCCAUGGCUGUUUGUUAAGGGCCUUCAGCCUCUGUGGGAACGUCACGGUGCAGCCAGCCUGCCCAGGGGUUAAUGUGCUAUUGACGGCAUCGCCUUGUUGACUCUCUGCAGAUGUUGGAUCCUGUCCUCUAAGCCCGGGGACCCCUUUGGUGUCAGAUGGGCCCAUGGCAAUGACCCCAGAGCAGCCCACCCUCAGGAGUGACAGGGACCCGGGUCCUCUCCCUGUCCCAUCAUCCUUUGGGGAACUCUUUCUAACCAACAAGGGUUAGAAUCCCCCCUUUCCUCGAUUGUGCAAUAGAUAAACUAAUGACUUAAAUAAGUAAAUAAUGAAGUCAUAGACUUGUUACAAGUGAUUAUGCAACUUUUGUCAUUAAAGAGAUGAUUCACCAAGGCACUCCAAGCAUUCAUUAAUUGCCGCAUAAAUUGAUUUUUGUUUUUAAGUCAAAUGCACUGGUGAACAUAUUUGUGAGGGGAGGCAGGUGAUAUGACCCAGAGAGGCCCUGUCCCAGUUGGAGCUCCCCAGAGACCAGGCCUGGGAGCUGCCAAGCUGGGGGCUGAGCAGAGCAGCCAGCAGCGAGCUGGGCUCCCUCCCCAUCGGCCCCUGGGUGCUUGGAAGGCUGCCUGUCUCUUCCUGGCAGUGCUCCAGCCUUCUGGCGGGCGAGGCGUGGUCGCCCCCUCAGCGGCCCCGGCUCCUGCCCCUGGGGCUGGAGAUAAGUCUGGCCGCAUCUCCCCACUGGGAACUCAGCCAAGCCAGCUGUUUCCCACAGCCCCUCCCUGACUCACCCUGCCUCUGCCCAGCCAGUUUCUCACACGACAAGCCCCUCCCUCCCAGAAUGUGUUGCUCCAGGAUUCUGUCUCUGGCUGGUGGGGGCCGGGGACCUGCUUCUUGCCUCCAUCUCCCUGAGGUUUGAUGUUCCUGUGGCUCCCUCCCCAACACACUCCUUCUUCAUUAUUCUCAGAGCAGACGGCCUUUGUCUGCAGACUGGCUCUCUGGACAGGGAGGCUGGCAGAGGAAACUGUCUCAUGCACCCUGAUGCCUCUGAGCCAGACCAAUGUGGGCACCUUCACAUAGACCACAGAGGUGUGCCUUCUGCCCAGCCACCCAAACCCUCCUGCUGCCAGGUGUGGGGACGCGCUGGCCGGAGUGGUAAGAGGGAGCUGGGUGCAUGCACUCACCCACCCAUCUGGGGCUCCUGGAAACUGCUCAGUAAAUGUUUGGUGAAUACAUGAAGUAAAUGGGUGGAUUAGGGGUCCACAGGAGGGGAUUUCCGUGCAGGAUGAUAUAAACAGGGCACAUGUGUGGGAACAUGUUUUAAGUAAGAACAAACAUUAACCACUUUGCCCUUGUUUACAAGGCUGUGCUGGAGUUGGUGGAGCCGGAGGUCAGUUGGCCUUAUCUGCUUAAGAGACCCAGUAUUAAAAAAAAAAAAAAAAAAAGAGACCCAGUAUUUAUAAACAGGUGGUCGGGGUUGAAUCCACACAGAAUUACUCCUCAGGGAGCACUUGUGACAUCUUGAGAAAUACAUGGGUUUGUCCUCGGCCAGUGUCACCAUGUUGAAUGAAGGAGGAAUAAAGGGUGGUACAGUUCUUAAUACUUCUUACCCCUCAUUUAACCAAGAAAAGCCCCAGAGGAACGUACUUGCCCCAUAAAACCAACGUCCAUUGAGCAUUUACUAUUAACAUGCCAAGACCCUACACUGAGCCCAUCACAAGCAUUGUCUCAGGUCAUCCUCACCUCACCCGUGAGUAGGGUUAUCCUCAUUUUACAGGUGAGAAAAUGGAAGCUUCGAGAAGAUGAAUAACAGUCCCAGACGCAUACAGCAAGAAAGUGGGAGGGGCUGCCCCAGGCCUGUGCUUCUUACCUCCAGGACAGAGGGCACUGUGAGUUGGAUCACCUCUCUGGGCCUCCGGUUUCUCUUCUGUAAAGGCAGACAGCAUUUCUCAAAUUUUCUACCUAAAGCUGCUCAAGCAACAGAGGAACGUGAGAGACCCUGAGGGUCCUGGGCACAGCCCAGAGUGGCAGCCACGGGCAGAAAUGUCUCUGGAGUUUUAAGAAAACAAAAGUUGUAAUUCUAUUUCAUAAUGCAUUUCGUUGUUGUUUUAUUCUGGUAAAAUACACAUGACAUAAAGUUUACCAUCUUAAUCACUUUUUUUUGUUUGUUUUUUGGCCGUGCCGUGAGGCUUGCGGGAUCUCAGUUCCCUGACCAGGAAUUGAACCCGGGCCAUGGCAGUGAAAGGCCAGAAUCCUAACUACG